rnacentral:rRNA from 1 species
AUUGAACGCUGGCGGCAUGCCUUACACAUGCAAGUCGAACGGCAGCACGGGUUCUUGCUCCUGAUGGCGAGUGGCGAACGCGGGAGUAUUACAUGUGAACAUGCCCCGUAGUGGGGGGUAGCCCCGCGAAAGCCGGAUUAAUACUACCUCCGAACAACGGUUAACAGCGGGGGAACUUCUGAACUAGCCCUUUGCGGCUCGCAGAUGUCUUAUUAGCUAGUUGGAGGGGUAAAGGCCUACAAAGGCGAAGAUCAGUAGCUGGACUGAGAGGACGACCAGCCACACUGGAACGGAGACACGGCCCAGACUCCUACGGGAGGCAGCGGUGGGGAAUUUUGGACAUUGGGGGAAGGCCGGAUCCAGCAAUGCCGCGUGGGUGAAGAGGGCCUUCGGGUUGUAAAGCACUUUUGUCGGGAAAGAAAUCCGUGAGUCUAAUACACUCGUGGGAUGACGGUACCGAAAGAAUAAGCACCGGCUAACUACGUG